CUGGAUGUCGGGCAGAAUGGGGGGAGAAGAUGGAGUCCUGUACCUGAGGAGAAGAUGCGUGGGGCCCGGCGAUCAUCGCAGACACCCAGCGGAGAUCACGGCUCAGAGCUCCGUUCCCUACUCCCCAUCGCUUCCAAGUUGAAUGCCACUGUGGCCACUGAUUUGCUAAGUUAGCCUAUGAUGUCACGUUCCCAGACCUGAAAUGAUGCUCAGCAGUGGGCAGCGCUCUAUGACACUAUUGGCGGCAGGAAAACAAGGAAGGCUCCCAUAUGUUUCUGGCAUAGCGAGACAGGAUAAGAGGCUGCCCCUAAACUCUUGUCAUUGGGCAGCCUGAUGGGCUGACAGAUGAACCGCCCCCAUUUACAUCAGAUUCAACCAUCAACAUCUAUCUAAUGCACAUGGCCAGUUACUGCAUUGAAGAAUUCUGACAAGUUAUCCUACAAUUGUUUGUUUUGUUACAUAGAUAUAUGGAUGUGUGCUUGGUGGUGAUUAUUUUUCCCUUUCAGAUAUCAGCGUCAUUUCUGAGACUGAAGUUGGGCCGCACUACAAAAACGCUG